GCGCCCGUAGCUCAGCUGGAUAGAGCGUCUGCUUGCGGAGCAGAAGGCCGGGGGUUCGAAUCCCUCCGGGCGUACCA
rnacentral:tRNA from 1 species